GAUGAACGCUAGCGGCAGGCCUAACACAUGCAAGUCGAGGGGUAGAGGAAGCUUGCUUCCUUGAGACCGGCGCACGGGUGCGUAACGCGUAUGCAAUCUACCUUGUACUGAGGGAUAGCCCAGAGAAAUUUGGAUUAAUACCUCAUAGCAUUAUGAUGUGGCAUCACAUUAUAAUUAAAGUUCCAACGGUACAAGAUGAGCAUGCGUCCCAUUAGUUAGUUGGUAAGGUAACGGCUUACCAAGACAAUGAUGGGUAGGGGUCCUGAGAGGGAGAUCCCCCACCAUGGUACUGAGACACGGACCAGACUCCUACGGGAGGUAGCAGUGAGGAAUAUUGGUCAAUGGGCGCAAGCCUGAACCAGCCAUGCCGCGUGCAGGAUGAAGCAUCUAUGGUGUGUAAACUGCUUUUAUACGGGAAGAAACACUCCUACGUGUAGGAACUUGACGGUACCGUAAGAAUAAGGAUCGGCUAACUCCGUGCCAGCCGCCGCGGUAAUAC
rnacentral:rRNA from 1 species